UGGGUCAUUGUGUUGGGUUAUCUUAAAAUUUGUUGGGUCAUUUAUUUUCGGCGUUGGGUUAUUUUUAGUUAUAACCCAACUGUUGGGUUAAAUAUGGUUCCCGCUUCACUCCGGUUCAAAUUUUAACGGUCCAGUCAGCGACUCAGUGCAGUGGACAUCAGCGGCAGCCUGCCUGAUUAUGAAAGGUUAUGCUGGGAAGGGCAAGUGAGGCGAGCUUUGUGGAAUUUACCCAGAAGCAAUGCAUCCAGGAUUUUGCAGUGUAAUGUAUGCAGUGGAAUCAACCGGAAGCUUACCCGCAACUCCACAGGCCGUGACCUCUGAUGUAGAGACAGGCUCCUGAGUCAGCAAAAGCAAAGCGAAUGCAGAAAGCCAUGCAGGAAACUUAUUCAGCAGCAACAUGUUCUUCUGAAGGAUUAUUAUCAGUGUCUAGAAAUAAAGCAUUAAACAUUCAAA